GAAUUAAGUACUUAACCUGAGGUACCACUGUACUGAGAACUGUAGCUUAUUAAGGGUGCUGAGAGUUGUUAGGAAGUCUCUAUUCUCCUCACAGAGCUACAAUCAAUCCCCCUUUCUGGGGAACUCUGGGAAUUGUCACUGUGCAAUUGGAACAGGAGUCUCCUAACAACUCUCAACUCCCUUAACAAACCACAGGUUCCAGGAUUUGGGGGCGCGGGGAGGAGGGGAAGCCAUGACUGUUAACAAGGUAUCAUAGUGUAGUGCAGGUGUGGCCACAUCAUGUGGGGAAUAAGAGGUGAUGUAAAAGUUUGUGGCACUUGCUUCCAUAGGAGUCUUGUGAUGGCCACCAACCUAGAUGGCUUUAAAAGAGGAUUAGCCAAAUUCAUGGAGGAGAGGGCUAUCUAAGGCUGCAAGUCAUGCUAGCUCUCUUCUGCUUCCACAGAGGCAGUAAUGCUUCUGAAUACCGGUUGCUGGAAACCACAGGAGGAGAGAGGGUUUUUGUGCCCAAAUCCUGCUUGUGGGUUUCUCACAGGCAUCUGGCUGGCCACUGUGAGAACAGGAUGCCGUACUAGAUGGGCCAUUGGCCUCAUCCAGCAGGUUCUUCUUAUGUUCUUAAGAUUGAAAAAAAGUAGCAUUGUUGCCAUUCUCUUAGAGCAUUUUUGCACACAUAUAAUAGUAAACAUACUGUGUAUACUGUGAACAGACGUGCAUAUUCCUGACUACUGCUUGAAGUGUACCCGUUAGUAUUUCUUGACUCCGAUGGUGCACAUGAGAUUGGUGUAAAUCACAUGUCUGUGUGGGAAGAGUGUGGGAAUGGAAGACAGUCUUAUCUCUUCCGCUGUAUGUACUGUACUUUUGCUUUUACUUGUUCCUGUUUCUUCUCUCGGAGCUGGAGAGAGAGGACGCCAUGAUUCCUUUGUCUGUACACUGUACAUAGUGUGUAAAUAAAUAUGUAGAUUAGCUCUACGAUGUCUCACGCUUCUUGCUGUGUUAUGCCAGAAGAUUAGUGUGCAUAUAUCAUUUGGUAUAUGUUGCUGAAGCGCACUGGAGAAGAAGGGAAAUGCCUUUUCCAGAGCUGCGCAUACCAGAGACCGCUCGGAGUUCGGGAGCUGCAGGUGCCCCCCAGGGCGUUUUCCAACAGUACCCACUCCCAAAUACAAUGGAGCUGGCACUUUCACAACUUCUGCAUAAUGUUUGUUCUGCACUUGCAAAGAAUCCAUCAUUCAAUGUGGCAGGAACUACUCUUACAAACUCCAUACCUCUAAAUACAAGGCAAGUGCCUCUCUGUAUUGUUUUUGGACACCUGCUAAAAACCAUUUUGUUUAGGAAAGCCUACAACAUGUAAUUUUAUUAUUAUUCUUAACUGCGGAUUUUGUCUAGAUCAACUUCAUUUUAAUUUUUGGGGUUAUUGGUAUUUUCUUACAAGUGUUUUGCACGAUUUAAUGCAAACCACUGAUAAAAGUUUUGUUUUUUUAUAAGCAGUGUAUAAAUCCUGCUGAAUAAAGACAACUCCCACACCCCAACGUUCUGCUUCAUCUAUGCUUUGUUUCAUCUAUGCUUUGCUUAGCUCUGUCUUGACAAAGCUGGCCUAAUUUAAGCUUUCCAGAUACAGUAAACUGAAAGCACUAGUUCCAGUGGGUGAUGUAAUUUCCCCCUUUAUAAUGGGACCCAUCAGACCCUCAGAACAUGCUCUUACUUCAGAGUGCUCCUGGUGGAUCCCUCACUUUCGAGAAAAAUCAGGAUCCAACUCAUUACAAGGUUUCUCAUGUUGUCUCUAAACAAGUGUUCAAGUUAAUCCCAAACUCCACACAGUGAUUUCUGCCCAGCCCUCCUCCGUUUGAACUCCUUUGUUUCCUUCAGCUUCUCCUCUGUUCCUUAUCUGAACAAUUAUCUCCUCCCACCUUCCCUUAUGCUUGCAUUCCUUUUAUCUGUCCUUAGAUCCUCUGUCCUAUCUCGCUUCCAGCCAAGAACAGCUGCCUUUUAUGCUGCUAUGGCACAUGCCAGGCUGUUUCCUUUGACUCAUCUUCACCCUCCGCAUUCCCCUUACAUUCUCCCCAGAUUUACAACUGGGCAUUGCUUGCCCUGCUUCCACACAGGGGAUUUCCUCCUAAUGCAAAUAGCACUUUCAGAGGAGGGAUUUUUUUCCUUUCAACUGCAGCAAAGAGAAGAAAAGGUUAAAUCCCCCCUCCAUCCCUGCAGUGAUCCCAACAAAUAGCUCCCUCCACAAGUUGAUCCCUUAGUCCUUUCAGACCUAUCUGCAACUCUGUGACUGAAAUCAUUAACCUCUCUUUACAGUCAGACCAUCUCAGAUCCAUACACCAACUGCCCAUCUCUUCCUUAAUUCGACAAAACCUCCUGAUUGUCACCUUCUGAGGUUUCUAUGGCCUCCCCCAGUCUAAUCUUACCAUUUUCUUUUGUUAUAACCCUGCUUGUGACCUUCACUCUUCCAACUCUACCAGCUUCAGCCUGCUCCAUGCUCUCUUCACCUCUGUCCUUUCAAAUUGCUCUUUAAAACUCACCCUUACCAGCCAGCCUUUCCCUUAACUCCACGGUCUUCAUUUUGGACGGCCUUGAUAGUUUGCUCCUUGACACACACACAGCCCUUAAAGUAGCUCUUGCUUCAAUUAGGUUUGCAAUGCGAAUGUAAAAUCCUGCCUUAGCCAGAAUGCUUAUUUGCACCACAAAUGCUUCUCUUCUCUUGUUUUUCCUUCUGGAGCAGAGAUAAGAUGGGAACCUAAAAGGGACAAUCCAGUCUCACAUGUGAAAACAGCCUGAGUCAUAGUCAUCCCUUGUUACUUUAUUCUCUUCCUUCCAUUCUCACCCUUUAUUGUUUCUUUGUUUCUUGUGGAAAUACAGAAUCUAAGCACCUCUGGGGGAGGGACAGUUUUCUUUAAAAAUACCAGACAUGAUGCUGAUGAUAUAUGAUGUACUGACACUGUAUGAAGUGCCUGGAGGAUUAACGCUCUCUCUGAAUCAGGGUGUAUGGAUCUCCUCUGAAAUGCUUGUGGAAUAUAUUGGUAGAUAAACCACAGCUAAUGUCAUAUGGGGUGUAGAACCUUUCUUUCGUAGCCUUCCCCCCUCAUGGACAACCUUCUGAAGGCCACAUACCAGAGACAGGUAGGUCCACAGGUGAAAGUGGGCAGAACCUGAAGGAGAAGCAUGGAGGUGUGGGCUGUCAAUGGCUACUAGCCAUGACAGCUACACUCUGCCUCUGCAGUUGGUGGCAGUAGUGCUUCUGAAUACCUGUAGCUGGAAGCGACAGGAGGCGAGAGUGCUCAUGCAAUCAUGUCCUGCUCCCCAGUUUCCUGAGUGACCCUUGUGAGAACAGAAACAGGUACGUUGGCCUGAUUCAGCACGCUAUUCUUAUGUUCUUAAGUACAGACAGGGCCAGCACCAGAAUCACUGCUGACAUCUCCACUGCAGAAGGCCCAGGAAGACAUGAGGCUCUCCCACUCUGUUGCAGAGAUUACUGCAGAAGGGUGGGUCCCUUUAAAUAAAUCAGCCUCUUGCAGCACAGGUGCUGUUGGCAAUUAGGCUGCAUCUGCAUUUGCAUCUGCUGCUAUAUAUGGGCUCAGUUUCAGCUUGUUCCUUCGUGGAACAGCAACAGAGCUUGCCUUACAAUUAGUUGGGGACUUGCUUUAUUGUGCUGCUGUCGAGCAAGACACUCCCCCCCCCAGCAUGUGCUGCCUGAGGCAGUUGCCUCACUUUGCCUAAUGAUAGGGUUGGCCCUGCUCAAUAUCCUUUCCCUCUCUCCAUUCUUUCUCCACAGCCACCAUUAGAUUGUGAGGUCCUGGGGCUUGGGAGCCUGAAAGAACAGUAGCUUCAUGUAAUAAAUGAUGCAUCCCAUUUUUCAGAGAAUGGCCCAUUAAUCAGUUUUGAUCAUUCCAUCCUGGGUAGUCAGAGUUCCUAAAAGAGAGAGUCCCCUGAGGCCAUUUCACCUGACCAUGAAAGAAUUUUGUGCAACUGAGAAUUAACAACUCCCCACUUUUAAAGGAAAGUCAACUUUUUCUAUUUUUACAUAUUGAUGAUUCCAUUUACUUUUAAAUUUUUAGCAUGAAGGUCAAGUUUUUUUUAAAAAAACCCAUCCCAAAAUCUUUAGGUGCAAAAAAGAAAGGAAAAUGGAACAUUAUGUUAGAAAGGACAUUAAUUGUGUUCAUUCUUCCUAUUAUUAUUAUUUCCCUGGAAGUGCCCCCUUUGUGGGGGGCGGGGGAGUCAACUGUAUUAUAUUGCAGAAGACAAUUAUUAUCUCAAGGAGGCUUAGGUGACACAUACAACAAUGCUUCUUACGUGCUGAGAGAUCCCGUGGGACCUAAGGUCUUUCAGUAUUUAAUUCUGUUUUCUCUGUAUCUAUUCCAUAAAGUUAUAGUUUCACAUGCCUAGUUAUGCUGAAACAGCACAGUGUGGGAAUUGCAACCUUCUAGAUAAAUUUCUGCAAAGGUCCCAAGGUGAUUUCUGCUUUAGGGAGUUUCCACUAGUCCUAGAGCUAUCUCUGUUGGCUGCUUGCCCUACAUUAAUUUGUCCUUCACUUUGGUGGAGAUGCCUAAAUACCGGUAACCACAAUACAAGAUGUGACAUAAACACAAGGUGUGACUUAUCAUGUAACCCCUGCAUAAGAACACUUUUGCUAGUGGAACUUUGACCCAGGCUAUCCAGAAAGUUCCGUGUACCAGCCAAACUCUACCUUCAGGAGUCACACCUGUUGCUGAGUGGGAUUCUCAGCAACCAAAAAGAGACAGGGCAUAAGCUAUUUUCAAUGCUUUGCUGUUUCCUUUGGGCUGUUUAAUUAAAUCUUUAGCCUUCAGCCCAUUUCAUUAUGCUCUGAAUCCAAAAAGAGCCUCUGCCCCUUGGCAGAACAUCAACACCCAAACUUUUACGGUCAAGCAGUGCUGUUGUUUUUAAGCUGUUUCUGUCUCAAUUCAGCAUUAAAUCUGCAAGCAUACAGUCUGAACACAGGUAUGCUAGCCAACAAAAUAUAUUUUUUAGUAUUUGCCACUUCCUUAGACUUGCAGAAAGGAGCACAAUGUGAUGGGAAUUUGUAGUUUUAUGAUUUGCUUCUUGCAGUGACUUUAAACCAAUUUUGAUCACAUAGUUCUCUGUUCAUAUGACCGGUAAGAAAGAAGUGAUUAUCAUAGAGGCAGAUGAAUGAGUAAGCAAUGAGAGUUGCUCCCCUCAGUUUCCCGCAGUCAUUAAAUUAUUUUCUUUACAUUUUUGCAGCAAAUGGCACUUUACCUAGGGGUUUUCUGUGCAAAGAAUUGUAUCCCUUCUAUUGCAUUUUACAUUUUGUAUGCUUAAUAUCCAUGCACCUUGGUCCACUGAGGACACCUGACUGACAACCUCAGAAUGUAUACACCUUCAGGGAGAGCGCAAUUUUAUGGAUUUUAUGGAUCUGAGAACCACCUGCCCACACUGCUUCCAUCUUGUCAAGAUCCAUCUUCAAUUUAUUGGCCCUCAUCCAGCCAUUUUCUAUUCCUGCCUUUGGAAAAGCCACCCCCCUGCUCACAGUUAGGUCCAUUUGCAGAGACAGAGUAAGCACACAAUUUUGCGGUUGCUUUGGGAAACUUAGAUGUCUAGUAAUGAGACAACACAGAAAGAAGCCAGUAUUAAGAUCAGAGGUCUACUCCAGGGUGGUGCUGGUAAUACAUCUGAGGUUCUUACCUGGGUCCCUCCUCUGCGGGAGGCUCUGAGGGUGAUGACAAGGGAGAGGGCUUUUUAAACUGCAGCUCCAUGUCUAUGGAAUGCUCUCCCUGGUAAGGUCUACAUGGUGCCUUCACUAACAUCUUUUUGGUGCCAGUAAACAUGAGCCUUUCCCCCUAGACCUUUGAUGGGGGUUUUGAAGGCUUAAAGAAAUGCAAAACCAAACUCACAAACAAAUUCUCAAAAAUCAAAAACAAAACUUUGGGCAAAGAAGGCGAGUGGCUUCAUGAUUGCCAUAGAAGCCAGCCAGCCAGCACUUUCCACAGCUAAGAUGGCAAGGGUGGAAGGAAUUGGCUUUGCAAAUGCCACAAAAGCACUGCAUGUUUGGUUCUGGCUAAGUUUACUUUUUAGGUUUAUUUUACUAUCCAAAAUGGAGUGAUGUGGAUUCCUGGUGAGCUCACUUCUCCAGGUUUGUAAAUCUGUCUAUAGCCUUUGUCUUAAGUGCUCAGUGGAUGGGGAAGAUUGAAGAGCAGUCAGCCAAGGAAGAUGAACAUAACUCUGUGCUCACAGCCCACGUAUGCUGCAAAUCAGUCAAAUUAGGUCAUUUGUACACAGUCAGGAUUCACAUUCUCAUAAUGCAUUGUAGGCAGAUAUUAAAUGCCCAAAGGUUUUGUAUGCAAUAAGCAGAAAACAACCGAAAUGCAUCUUGUUCUUCUGUCAGUUGUCUGCCAUUAAUAAAAAGUCAUUGCAAUGAGCUAGAGAAAUACUUACUAGGCAAAUUUUCCCCACAGAACAGCUUAAAAAGUUAAACAAACCCUAUAACAAUAUAGGUCCAAAGCUGGAUAUUUAUGAAAUUGUCAAAGGGCUCAAAGCAAAAUUUUCUAGUGUGCCUUACUAUGAAGAUUGCAAUUUUAACAGCUCACAAAGGCAAUGAAAUUAAAGACACCUCCCAGAUGAGCACAAGUUUCCAGCAUGGCUUACUAUGAGAAUUGCAGUUUUAGCAGCUCACAAUGGAAAUACAAUUAAUAAAGACACCUCCCAGCUGUUGCAGAAUUUCUUAUGGAUGAAUUAUCUCAUCUCAGUGAUUUAAGAUAUGUUUUGAAAUGCGAGCUGUUCGCUCUUUACCCUUGUGCUAUAUAUUUCCAAGUUUAGCUGCUGUGACUAUAUAAAUGUUAUGGAGAUUGUAAUCACCCCAGAGAAAUGCCCAGAGGCCAAGCAUUUUAUAAAAAACAACAACUCCAUGGAUCUUAAAGGGUGUACAAAGCUUGCUUUUAUUCCCUUCAAAGUACUGAUUAUGAGAUGCAACAAUAUAUUUAAUCUGGUUGCACAUUGUGGACUUGAACCAGAGAGUCAUACUUGCUGCUGUGCUUUGGGAUCCCUCCUUUCAGCAACUGAACAUGAUCCCCUCCGUGAGAUCCUCCAGUGCCUGUGGCACAAUACUGAUAAAGAGGAGGCGUUAUUCUAAAAAUGAGCUCAACAAAAUAAAUACUACGUCACCCAAAACUCCAGAUUCCUAAGUUUGAUUUAUUGUAUAAAUAGCUGCUUCUAAGUUGUGGUGGAAGGAGAUUGGGUAUAUUAUCCUCUUCCUCCACAACUCUGUAAAAGUAGCUUUUUAUGCCUAAUUCAAGCCAUCUUCCAGACUGGUUAUCAAUAUGGAACCUGAUAUGUUUAAACUUUGUCCACAGGUAGUAAUGAUGUAUGGGAGAGAAUUCAAAACAUCAGACUGUUUUAUCUUGAACAGGUCCAAAUGUCAGAAUAAUUUCAUUUCAGAGCAUGUACACACUGUAUCUAUC
rnacentral:lncRNA from 1 species